UUAAAUUGAAGAGUUUGAUCAUGGCUCAGAUUGAACGCUGGCGGCAGGCCUAACACAUGCAAGUCGAACGGUAGCAGGAAGAAGCUUGCUU
rnacentral:rRNA from 1 species